CUUUGCUCCGCCGGCGACCGGCGCACGGGUGAGUAGCGCGUAUGCAACCUGCCCGUUUCAGCGGGAUAACCCGGAGAAAUCCGGCCUAAUACCGCAUGUGGCCGAGGGGAGGCAUCUUCUUUCGGCCAAAGGAGGCGACUCAGGAGACGGAUGGGCAUGCGUGACAUUAGCUUGUUGGCGGGGUAACGGCCCACCAAGGCGACGAUGUCUAGGGGUUCUGAGAGGAAGGUCCCCCACACUGGUACUGAGACACGGACCAGACUCCUACGGGAGGCAGCAGUGAGGAAUAUUGGUCAAUGGGCGAGAGCCUGAACCAGCCAAGUCGCGUGAAGGAUGACGGCCCUACGGGUUGUAAACUUCUUUUGUCAGGGAGCAAUUGAGUCCACGUGUGGGCUUAGCGAGAGUACCUGAAGAAAAAGCAUCGGCUAACUCCGUGCCAGCAGCCGCGGUAAUACGGAGGAUGCGAGCGUUAUCCGGAUUUAUUGGGUUUAAAGGGUGCGUAGGCGGAAUAUCAAGUCAGCGGUAAAAAUUCGGGGCUCAACCCCGUCGUGCCGUUGAAACUGAUGUUCUUGAGUGGGCGAGAAGUAUGCGGAAUGCGUGGUGUAGCGGUGAAAUGCAUAGAUAUCACGCAGAACUCCGAUUGCGAAGGCAGCAUACCGGCGCCCAACUGACGCUGAAGCACGAAAGCGUGGGUAUCGAACAGGAUUAGAUACCCUGGUAGUCCACGCAGUAAACGAUGAAUGCUAAUUGUCCGGAGGGAUUGACCUCUGGGUGAUACAGCGAAAGCGUU
rnacentral:rRNA from 1 species